CGUACACUCCUACGGGAGGCAGCAGUGGGGAAUAUUGGACAAUGGGCGCAAGCCUGAUCCAGCCAUGCCGCGUGAGUGAUGAAGGCCCUAGGGUUGUAAAGCUCUUUCACCGGUGAAGAUAAUGACGGUAACCGGAGAAGAAGCCCCGGCUAACUUCGUGCCAGCAGCCGCGGUAAUACGAAGGGGGCUAGCGUUGUUCGGAUUUACUGGGCGUAAAGCGCACGUAGGCGGACUAUUAAGUCAGGGGUGAAAUCCCGGGGCUCAACCCCGGAACUGCCUUUGAUACUGGUAGUCUUGAGUUCGAGAGAGGUGAGUGGAAUUCCGAGUGUAGAGGUGAAAUUCGUAGAUAUUCGGAGGAACACCAGUGGCGAAGGCGGCUCACUGGCUCGAUACUGACGCUGAGGUGCGAAAGCGUGGGGAGCAAACAGGAUUAGAAACCCUGGUAGUCCCA
rnacentral:rRNA from 1 species